AACGCAUAUUGCACUCUCUGGUAUUCCGGAGAGUAUGCCUGUUUCAGUAUCAGUAAACACCAUCAAACAAAAUCCUUAGUUUUUUUUGUUUGGAUUUGAGCGUUGCCGAGAAAACCAAAACAGGUUCGGCCUGCUCGAAAUGCAAGUACACAGGAGGAACAAAAAGGAAUUAAUUUUCCAACCACAACAAAGGUGGGUGUGAAAUUUAGAAAGCGUCGUAGUUGACUUUUUUGUCUUCUUUCGCUGAAAAAUGAAACACCAAAAAAAAACCUUUGGGGGUGGAUUCCGCUGUGCAAAUUCGCAGGAAGAAAUUUCACUUCUUGAUCUGAAAUCAGGUAGGACUACCCGCUGAACUUAA
rnacentral:misc_RNA from 1 species